AAGAGCACCCGGGCCUGAAAAGUUUUGGAUGAGCGUGGCGGGAUCAGCGAAAAUUCCAGCCACCAUAUUAAUCUACCUCUAAAAUCCCUAAUUUUAUCUCCCUCAAACCCACGAACGCCAUGCCGGUUCUCUCCCGCAGCUGCACCUGUACUAGCACCGCCGCUCCGAUCUGAUCUGACCCGCCACUGCUCGCACUUUACGGCCCCGUCUUCCCGCCGGAUCUAGCCUCUGAGGUGCUUUUCCUCCCCUGCGGAGUACCGACUGCCCCCUCCCCGUUGUUUUCUCGCCGCUCUCUACCCGCCGCCGCCGAGGACGAAGAGGGGCACGCGACAAGGUCAAUGGCGGUGGCCACCUCCAGAUUUGGCCUCCCUCCGGCCGCAUCGCCUCCUCAAUGGUCCCCGGCGAGCACCCCCGCUCGUUGCACGUCCGUUCGCCUCAGCAUCCCCUGCGACCCAGCUGUUGUCUUCUACUCAUGUGUCAACCUAUUAGUACCGAUUCCAAGCAAGCUUGCUGUUCAACUUCAGAGUGCGGCCGUUCUGGACAAGGUGGUUACUGGGUAUAGGAGGUGGGAGAUCCAUAAAUCAUAAUGCCAUUUCGAUCUAAGAUCCUCUAAAUUUGGCUGAAGAAACCACUCAGGUUAUUUUCCGAAUUACUGUCCAAGCAGCCCCCCUCCAGUGGGAUGGCUAAAUUUGUAGGUGCACCACCUGUUAUCCUUAAAUACCCACCAAUUAUGUUCAGACCAGGUUCUAGUAAGUAUGCUCCACGUUUCUGUUGUAGUCCCCAGCUAGUCUGUCUCAUUGAUUAUAUGUGUCAAAUUGUAUCUAGCUACAAGGCACAAGUAUAUUUGAUUUAUUUCUCUUAUGGUAGAUGUAAUGUGCAAAUAGGUACUAAUCUCCCAACUAUGCUAGUAGUACUAACCAUGAGGGAAUCCCCACCUAGUCUGAUUGAUCCCUAAAUGUAUUCCAGUCCAGUUUAGAAUAGUUUUAAGUAGUAGCUUUGUAUCAUCAUUCAGAGCUGACGGGUUAGAAAACUACCUAGUUUACUAUAGUAAUAACACUGCAUUAUACAUGACAAACACACCAUUGAUACAAGUGCAGGUUAAUGGAGCAUGGGCUAUUAUCUCCAUAGACAACAAAGAAAUCUUAUGAUAAGAUAACAUAAUAAAUCAUGGAAUGUGGAGCAUAGUGCAAAAGACAGUGAAGAUGCCGAUGAUGACUUCAUCAUAAAAUCCAAUCACCAAUGAUCUCAGAUAUCUAACUGAGCUUUAAUUUCAGCCCACUUGCAACAACAGUGAAUCUGUUGUCCUGACUAUAUAUGUGUGCUAGAGUUCAGACAAAAAAAUAGACAAUACCUCUUACGAUGACAAUACUCUUUCCAUAUACAACUUGAUAAAUCUCUUGGUUGGUCUUUAGGGGCCUAAGCUAUGAUUAUUGAGGCAGAGUGAUGCUUCCUUUCAAAGAAAAUGGAUCGUUCACAAAUUGGGAUCCUAUUUGACAAGCAGAUCUUUGAUGGUAAUGAUCUUGGUGGUUUGUGUUAGAAGGAUAAUGGCUUCUUUUGUUUUGGUUUGAUAUCUCGAGCCACUAAAUUUAUUUGUCAUUUCAUUUGGAUAUGGUUCUCUUAUCAGUAUAGGUAAAAUGUCAUGAUGGAUAUUACGAAAAGUAGGGUAUUGUAAAAUGUUGAAUUUUAGGUAAUAUUUACAUAGCUACAGUCAGGAGAACAGGGUUAGUACUAAACUGUGGAAUUUUGUUGCAAUGAUAGAUGUUUUUUUGUAACUCAUGCUUACCGAUCUGUUUAUGUCUUUGUUGCAAAUUCUAGCCUUAUUCUUGUGAUGGCAUGAUAUGCAAGUCAUCUUCCAAAAAGUUGGGAUGGACAAAUAAGGACCAGAGCAACUCUAGCCACCUACAAUAAGUCGGGAGAAAAAGCCUUCGACAAAUGUGCCUUUGAUGAAGAGGAGAGCUGUACAAUUAUGUUUGGAUCAAGACCACUCAUUUGUUAAUCUGUUUCUUAGUGUGUAUUGAAGCUACAUGUUGUAGCAGGUGGUGAUGUAGCUUGUGUUAUUUUAGCUUAUGGGGAAUGUGAACUAUGAAUCGUGAUUGGGAACUUUGGCGUCGAUGUUAUAUAGACUAAUUAAUUGUGAUGUGAUGUGAAAAUACCUUGUGUUGGACAGUUGAAUUGGUCAAUUAAAAAAUUAGCCUCCAUUG